rnacentral:rRNA from 1 species
UACGUAGGGCGCAAGCGUUGUCCGGAAUUACUGGGCGUAAAGGGCUCGUAGGCGGCCAACUAAGUCAGACGUGAAAUCCCUCGGCUUAACCGGGGAACUGCGUCUGAUACUGGAUGGCUUGAGUUUGGGAGAGGGAUGCGGAAUUCCAGGUGUAGCGGUGAAAUGCGUAGAUAUCUGGAGGAACACCGGUGGCGAAGGCGGCAUCCUGGACCAACAUUGACGCUGAGGAGCGAAAGCCAGGGGAGCAAACGGG